rnacentral:rRNA from 1 species
GGUUAAGCGACUAAGCGUACACGGUGGAUGCCCUGGCAGUCAGAGGCGAUGAAGGACGUGCUAAUCUGCGAAAAGCGUCGGUAAGGUGAUAUGAACCGUUAUAGCCGGCGAUGUCCGAAUGGGGAAACCCAGUGCAAUUCGUUGCACUAUCGUUUGAUGAAUACAUAGUCAAACGAGGCGAACCGGGGGAACUGAAACAUCUAAGUACCCCGAGGAAAAGAAAUCAACCGAGAUUCCCCCAGUAGCGGCGAGCGAACGGGGAGCAGCCCGGAGUCUGAAUCAGCUUGUGUGUUAGUGGAAGCGUCUGGAAAGUCGCAGGGUACAGGGUGAUACUCCCGUACACUAAAACACACAGGCUGUGAACUCGAAGAGUAGGGCGGGACACGUGGUAUCCUGUCUGAAUAUGGGGGGACCAUCCUCCAAGGCUAAAUACUCCUGACUGACCGAUAGUGAACCAGUACCGUGAGGGAAAGGCGAAAAGAACCCCGGCGAGGGGAGUGAAAAAGAACCUGAAACCGUGUACGUACAAGCAGUAGGAGCCUCUUUAUGGGGUGACUGCGUACCUUUUGUAUAAUGGGUCAGCGACUUAUAUUCUGUAGCAAGGUUAACCGUAUAGGGGAGCCGCAGGGAAACCGAGUCUUAACUGGGCGUUAAGUUGCAGGGUAUAGACCCGAAACCCGGUGAUCUAGCCAUGGGCAGGUUGAAGGUUGGGUAACACUAACUGGAGGACCGAACCGACUAAUGUUGAAAAAUUAGCGGAUGACUUGUGGCUGGGGGUGAAAGGCCAAUCAAACCGGGAGAUAGCUGGUUCUCCCCGAAAGCUAUUUAGGUAGCGCCUCGUGAACUCAUCUUCGGGGGUAGAGCACUGUUUCGGCUAGGGGGUCAUCCCGACUUACCAACCCGAUGCAAACUACGAAUACCGAAGAAUGUUAUCACGGGAGACACACGGCGGGUGCUAACGUCCGUCGUGAAGAGGGAAACAACCCAGACCGCCAGCUAAGGUCCCAAAGUCAUGGUUAAGUGGGAAACGAUGUGGGAAGGCCCAGACAGCCAGGAUGUUGGCUUAGAAGCAGCCAUCAUUUAAAGAAAGCGUAAUAGCUCACUGGUCGAGUCGGCCUGCGCGGAAGAUGUAACGGGGCUAAACCAUGCACCGAAGCUGCGGCAGCGACACUAUGUGUUGUUGGGUAGGGGAGCGUUCUGUAAGCCGUUGAAGGUGGCCUGUGAGGGUUGCUGGAGGUAUCAGAAGUGCGAAUGCUGACAUAAGUAACGAUAAUGCGGGUGAAAAACCCGCACGCCGGAAGACCAAGGGUUCCUGUCCAACGUUAAUCGGGGCAGGGUGAGUCGACCCCUAAGGCGAGGCCGAAAGGCGUAGUCGAUGGGAAACAGGUUAAUAUUCCUGUACUCGGUGUUACUGCGAAGGGGGGACGGAGAAGGCUAUGUUGGCCGGGCGACGGUUGUCCCGGUUUAAGCAUGUAGGCGGAUGUUCCAGGUAAAUCCGGAACGUUAUUAACGCUGAGGUGUGAUGACGAGGCACUACGGUGCUGAAGUGACAAAUGCCCUGCUUCCAGGAAAAGCCUCUAAGCAUCAGGUAACAUCAAAUCGUACCCCAAACCGACACAGGUGGUCAGGUAGAGAAUACCAAGGCGCUUGAGAGAACUCGGGUGAAGGAACUAGGCAAAAUGGUGCCGUAACUUCGGGAGAAGGCACGCUGAUAGGUAGGUGAAGUGGUUUACCCAUGGAGCUGAAAUCAGUCGAAGAUACCAGCUGGCUGCAACUGUUUAUUAAAAACACAGCACUGUGCAAACACGAAAGUGGACGUAUACGGUGUGACGCCUGCCCGGUGCCGGAAGGUUAAUUGAUGGGGUUAUCCGUAAGGAGAAGCUCUUGAUCGAAGCCCCGGUAAACGGCGGCCGUAACUAUAACGGUCCUAAGGUAGCGAAAUUCCUUGUCGGGUAAGUUCCGACCUGCACGAAUGGCGUAAUGAUGGCCAGGCUGUCUCCACCCGAGACUCAGUGAAAUUGAACUCGCUGUGAAGAUGCAGUGUACCCGCGGCAAGACGGAAAGACCCCGUGAACCUUUACUAUAGCUUGACACUGAACACUGGUCCUUGAUGUGUAGGAUAGGUGGGAGGCUUUGAAGUGUGGACGCCAGUCUGCAUGGAGCCAUCCUUGAAAUACCACCCUUUAAUGGCUGGUGUUCUAACGUGGGCCCGUUAUCCGGGUUGCGGACAGUGUCUGGUGGGUAGUUUGACUGGGGCGGUCUCCUCCUAAAGAGUAACGGAGGAGCACGAAGGUCAGCUAAUCCUGGUCGGACAUCAGGAGGUUAGUGCAAUGGCAUAAGCUGGCUUGACUGCGAGCGUGACGGCGCGAGCAGGUGCGAAAGCAGGUCAUAGUGAUCCGGUGGUUCUGAAUGGAAGGGCCAUCGCUCAACGGAUAAAAGGUACUCCGGGGAUAACAGGCUGAUACCGCCCAAGAGUUCAUAUCGACGGCGGUGUUUGGCACCUCGAUGUCGGCUCAUCACAUCCUGGGGCUGAAGUAGGUCCCAAGGGUAUGGCUGUUCGCCAUUUAAAGUGGUACGCGAGCUGGGUUUAGAACGUCGUGAGACAGUUCGGUCCCUAUCUGCCGUGGGCGCUGGAGAAUUGAGGGGGGCUGCUCCUAGUACGAGAGGACCGGAGUGGACGCAUCACUGGUGUUCGGGUUGUCAUGCCAAUGGCAUUGCCCGGUAGCUAAAUGCGGAAGAGAUAAGUGCUGAAAGCAUCUAAGCACGAAACUUGCCCCGAGAUGAGUUCUCCCUGACUCCUUGAGAGUCCUGAAGGAACGUUGAAGACGACGACGUUGAUAGGCCGGGUGUGUAAGCGCAGCGAUGCGUUGAGCUAACCGGUACUAAUGAACCGUGAGGCUUAACCUU